rnacentral:lncRNA from 1 species
AGUGUGGGGCUUGGGAAACACCAAAGUGGAAGGAAGGUCCAGUUAUGAAAACUGAGGCAGGCCAGUGGAUGACUGAACCCCCACUCUGCCCCAUCCUCCUCCGGGGUGACAGCAGAAACAUUCCAUGGCCUCAGCAGACACUGGGGUAACACUCCACGACUGACCCUGGGGUAACACUCGUGGCCCCGGCUGACUCUAGGGUAACACUCUGUGGCCUGAUUAUGUGGGGGUAACACCCCACAGCCCUGGAUGACACUGGAGUCACAUUCCACGUCCCUGGUUGACGCUGGGGUAAUGCUCUACAGCACUGGCUGACUCUGUUGGUUGCUACCCAGUAGGCAUGCCCAGUCCUCCUACCAAAGCCUCAAUUCUGUUCCAGUGGCAAUAUGCCCAGCCUCAGGGGAUGAGUCAAGAUUAACCAAAGCCUCCUAUGGCAAUCGCAUUACCCUUGCCAGCGACGGGGGAUGGUGACCCUGUGACCCAGCUCUGGCUCGUGGCUAUAAGACUGCUGAAAGCUGGGAAAGUUCUCCCCUGAAUUGAAACUAAAGAGACAACCUCUCAAGAAGAUCGCUGUUUUCCCUGCCCCUUCCCUCCUACCCAGGCUACUCCUGGGUGAAGACACAGGUUCGCAACUGCAGCAGCCAUCUUGUGACCACGAGGAAAGGACAAGAGAAUGGCAGACACUGAGUGGUACCCAGUUGUGGCCAAGUUGCUGACAAACCCAGGAUGUGCCGACCAUCUUCCAGGCUUCUCUUGUAGUGUAUGGUAAGUAAGGACACUCGGGUAUUCUGUUACUCGCCAUCAAAAGCAUAUUUACCAUCCUGUACUUUUCCUAUAUGUUAUCAUAUUUGCAUACAGAGGAGUUGUGAGCACACCAUCAGAGGAGAGGCAGUGGAAGAGGUUGGAUGACAGAGCUGGUAAAUGGUGGGACCAGGCCUCAAACUCUCUUCUGCUGAUAGGAAGCCUCAGGUACCGUCUGCUCUGCUCUGCCCCCGAGGAAAAAUUCCUUCAGCCUACAGAUUCCCCAUCUCAGGGCCAGGCCUCAAACCUUCAAAGCCAAUGUGGAAAAGUCCAAUCCAAAAUGACAAAAUAGAUCUGUGAAAGGAAUGCCCCAAUCCUUGGCUCAUUCUAAAUAUGCUGCUAUUAUUAUAAAGCUCUCCCAAACUGUUGCAAGAAAAAAAAAAAAAAAAA